rnacentral:rRNA from 1 species
GAUGAACGCUAGCGGCAGGCCUAACACAUGCAAGUCGAGGGAGAAGCCCUUCGGGGCAGAAACCGGCGCACGGGUGCGUAACGCGUAUGCAACCUACCUUUCACAGGGGGAUAGCCCGAAGAAAUUUGGAUUAAUACCCCAUAAUAUUAUUGGAUGGCAUCAUUUGAUAAUUAAAAUUACGAUGGUGAAAGAUGGGCAUGCGUCCUAUUAGCUAGUUGGAGUGGUAACGGCACCCCAAGGCUACGAUAGGUAGGGGUCCUGAGAGGGAGAUCCCCCACACUGGUACUGAGACAGGGACCAGACUCCUACGGGAGGCAGCAGUGAGGAAUAUUGGUCAAUGGUCGGAAGACUGAACCAGCCAUGCCGCGUGCAGGAAGAAUGCCUUAUGGGUUGUAAACUGCUUUUAUAUGGGAAGAAUAAGGAGUACGUGUAC